UAAAAGAUAAGCUAAUUAAGCUGUUAGGUUCAUACCCUAAUUAUAGAAGUUAAGCCUUCUUCUUUUUA
rnacentral:tRNA from 1 species